rnacentral:rRNA from 1 species
CGCAUCUGUGCAUGCAGCAUAUCAAUAAGCGGAGGAAAAGAAACUAACAAGGAUUCCCCUAGUAACGGCGAGUGAAGCGGGAAGAGCUCAAAUUUGAAAUCUUAAAGGGUUUCCCUUUACGAAUUGUAGUUUAAAGAAGUGUUUUCUGUUGAGGUUUUGGUAAAAGUUCUUUGGAAUAGGACAUCAUAGAGGGUGAGAAUCCCGUAUUUGACCUUUACUUUCAACUUUGUGAUACACUUUCAAAGAGUCGGAUUGUUUGGGAAUGCAGUCUAAAAUGGGUGGUAAAUUUCAUCUAAAGCUAAAUAUUGGCGAGAGACCGAUAGCGAACAAGUACCGUGAGGGAAAGAUGAAAAGAACUUUGAAAAGAGAGUUAAACAGUACGUGAAAUUGUCAAAAGGGAAGCGUUUGACACCAGUGUUGUUUUUCUGAAAAUCAAUUAAAGAACUGUUUAUGCUAAGCUGUUUAGACUUUAUCAGCUAUCUGUUUAGUUUUGAGCUUUUCUUUAAUGCACUUUUCAGUUAACAAGUCAACAUCAAUUUCUUUUGCUGUAAAAAAGCUUGAGGAAGGUGGCUUGAGAUUCGUCUUAAGUGUUUAUAGCCUCUUGCCUAUGCAGUCGGAGAGAUUGAGGUCCUGCAGCGUAGAUCCUUCGGGGCUAAAUGCAUUUGUGCUAAGUUAUAGCAUUUUAUAGACAACUUGUUGACUAUGAUUUGUCUUGUAGCUUACUCGCUUAUGUUAUUUUACCUACGCUUAGGAUGUUGGUCGUAGAGCACGCAG